GGCGGGUUUCUUCUCAAAUGAGAGAAUUCAUCAAAUGAAUUGGCCCAGACUUCUGCAGUGUCAAGUGAAAGAAGCUCCUCUCAUAAGAUUGCAAACUGGGAGUCUGAUGACACUGAGCGUGAGUGAUGGAAGCCCUUCAAGAAAGGAGCAGAAUGCUGAAGAUGACGCCAGAAUUAAUCCAAGUUCCUGGCUUCUCCCAAGACCUUCAAGGACCCAAUUGACCUCGGAAUCAGCUGUAAAGGAGGAUGAAACCGAUGUCUAAGAAUGGGACAGCGAUAUUGCAUCAAUUGGUCUCCUACUUCAUUUGAUUCCACAUCACCACAAGACUGCAAGGGACCUGGAAAAAUGUCAUCCUAUCAAGCUGAAGAACAUAUUCA